AUGCAACGCGAAGAACCUUACCUACUCUUGACAUCCAGAGAACUUAGCAGAGAUGCUUUGGUGCCUUCGGGAACUCUGAGACAGGUGCUGCAUGGCUGUCGUCAGCUCGUGUUGUGAAAUGUUGGGUUAAGUCCCGCAACGAGCGCAACCCUUAUCCUUUGUUGCCAGCGGUUAGGCCGGGAACUCAAAGGAGACUGCCAGUGAUAAACUGGAGGAAGGUGGGGAUGACGUCAAGUCAUCAUGGCCCUUACGAGUAGGGCUACACACGUGCUACAAUGGCAUAUACAAAGAGAAGCGACCUCGCGAGAGCAAGCGGACCUCAUAAAGUAUGUCGUAGUCCGGAUUGGAGUCUGCAACUCGACUCCAUGAAGUCGGAAUCGCUAGUAAUCGUGGAUCAGAAUGCCACGGUGAAUACGUUCCCGGGCCUUGUAC
rnacentral:rRNA from 1 species